rnacentral:rRNA from 1 species
UACGUAGGGUGCAAGCGUUAAUCGGAAUUACUGGGCGUAAAGCGUGCGCAGGCGGUUUUGUAAGUCUGACGUGAAAGCCCCGGGCUCAACCUGGGAAUUGCGUUGGAGACUGCAAGGCUUGAAUCUGGCAGAGGGGGGUAGAAUUCCACGUGUACCAGUGAAAUGCGUAGAGAUGUGGAGGAACACCGAUGGCGAAGGCAGCCCCCUGGGUCAAGAUUGACGCUCAUGCACGAAAGCGUGGGGAGCAAACAGG